rnacentral:lncRNA from 1 species
UUUUUUUUGAGAUGGAGUUUCGCUCUUGUUGCCCAGGCUGGAGUGCAAUGGCACAAUCUCGGUUCACCGCAACCUCUGCCUCCCGGAUUCAAGAGAUUCUCUUGCCUCAGCCUUCCGAGUAGCUGGGAUUACAGGCAUGAGCCACCACAUCCAGCUAAUUUUGUAUUUUUAGUAGAGAUGGGGUUUCUCCAUGUUGGUCAGGCUGGUCUCAAACUCCCGACCUCAGGUGAUCCGCUCACCUUGGCCUCCCAAAGUGCUGGGAUUACAGGCGUGAGGCACCACGCCCAGCCACUCUCCUAUUUCAAACAUUUUUUUGCCUUUUAAAUGUCAGUUCAGGUUGACCACAGGGAAACUUUGUAACGACCAAUGGGUCAAGCUUCUGAGGCACUGGUUCUGGCCCCUUUUCCUCCUCUCUCCAACCCUCUCCCUCUUGUCCCUGUUCCCUGACUUCUCUUAGGUGUCAAAAACAAUCCAGGGCUCAUUUCAUCUCUGUACAUCCAUGUCACUCUCUCCUCCUUAACUCUUCAAAUAGUAUCUUUUUUUUUCCUUUUCUUAGAACCAUAUCUGGUGUGACAACAAUUUGAAAAGCGCCACCCAUCCUCUCUGAGACCACAAACAGCGCUGAAGGCAGUGAACCAAGACUUACAAACAAGGGUGUAGACCAAGGAAAAUGCUGGGGGCCAGAGGAGGAGAAAGCAAGAAGAUAGAAACACCAUAGUUUCAAGAGGGAGGGGAGCAGAAAGCCGCCAGCUCUCCAAAAAACAAGAAGCAAAACCCAGAACUCAAACCUCAUGAAAGUAUCACGAGGUUGAAGCCUUUAAAAGGUGUUUUUACAGCAGAUUUUAGAGACUUCUCACCUUACCAACGGUUAUAAACCCGUAUCCUUGCAAAUUCAGCAGUAGAGUCAUUAGAUUGCCCUCUCAGCCUCUGCACGUGAAGGGUCUCAGGGCUUUUCAGGACAUCUUUAGGGUCAGGUUUCGUGAAAUAGAAAAUAUGAUAUUAAGAAACGAGAAAAGGCUUUGCAGACGCCGCCGCCGAGGAAAACCGUGUGCUAUUAGCCAUGGUCAACCCCACCAUGUUCUUCGACAUUGCCGUCGACGGUGAGCCCUUGGGCCGCAUCUCCUUUGAGGUAAGGGGCCUGGAAACCAAGAAGUGACUGCUCAUCUAAUCCAUAAAGCUAUGUUAACAGAUUGGAGCUGUUUGCAGACAAGGUCCCAAAGACAGCAGAAAAUUUUCGUGCUCUGAGCACUGGAGAGAAAGGAUUUGGUUAUAAGGGUUCCUGCUUUCACAGAAUUAUUCCAGGGUUUAUGUGUCAGGGUGGUGACUUCACACGCCAUAAUGGCACUGGUGGCAAGUCACCACUGGGAGAAAUUUGAAGAUGAGAACUUCAUCCUAAAGCAUACAGGUCCUGAAAUCUUGUCCAUGGCAAAUGCUGGACCCAACACAAAUGGUUCCCAGUUUUUCAUCUGCACUGCCAAGACUGAGUGGUUGGAUGGCAAGCAUGUGGUCUUUGGCAAAGUGAAAGAAGGCAUGAAUAUUGUGGAGGCCAUGGAGCGCUUUGGGUCCAGGAAUGGCAAGACCAGCAAGAAGAUCACCAUUGCUGACUGUGGACAACUCGAAUAAGUUUGACUUGUGUUUUAUCUUAACCACCAGAUCAUUCCUUCUGUAGCUCAGGAGAGCACCCCUCCACCCCAUUUGCUUGCAGUAUCCCAGUAUCUUUGUGCUCUUGCUGCAGUUCCCUUUGGGUUCCAUGUUUUCCUUGUUCCCUCCCAUGCCUAGCUGGAUUGCAGAGUUAAGUUUAUGAUUAUGAAAUAAAAACUAAAUAACAA